rnacentral:rRNA from 1 species
CCUGGGGAGUACGGCCGCAAGGUUAAAACUCAAAUGAAUUGACGGGGGCCCGCACAAGCGGUGGAGCAUGUGGUUUAAUUCGAUGCAACGCGAAGAACCUUACCUGGUCUUGACAUCCACAGAACUUAGCAGAGAUGCUUUGGUGCCUUCGGGAACUGUGAGACAGGUGCUGCAUGGCUGUCGUCAGCUCGUGUUGUGAAAUGUUGGGUUAAGUCCCGCAACGAGCGCAACCCUUAUCCUUUGUUGCCAGCGGUCCGGCCGGGAACUCAAAGGAGACUGCCAGUGAUAAACUGGAGGAAGGUGGGGAUGACGUCAAGUCAUCAUGGCCCUUACGACCAGGGCUACACACGUGCUACAAUGGCAUAUACAAAGAGAAGCGACCU